AUUGAACGCUGGCGGUAUGCUUAACACAUGCAAGUCGAACGGCAGCACGAAGAAGCUUGCUUCUUUGGGUGGCGAGUGGCGGACGGGUGAGUAAUGCGUAGGAAUCUACCUUGAAGUGGGGGAUAACCCGGGGAAACUCGGGCUAAUACCGCAUAAUCUCUACGGAGCAAAGCUGGGGACCCUCGGGCCUGGCGCUUAAAGAUGAGCCUACGUCGGAUUAGCUAGUUGGUAGGGUAAAGGCCUACCAAGGCGACGAUCCGUAGCUGGUUUGAGACGGAUGACCAGCCACACUGGGACUGAGACACGGCCCAGACUCCUACGGGAGGCUG
rnacentral:rRNA from 1 species